rnacentral:rRNA from 1 species
AUGGACACCCGGGUGCUGCCCGUUCCCAUGGAUCCGGCGACGGCGGCGAUGUUCCGGCUCGACGGCCAGGACCCGGACGAGAUGGAGGCCCUCUUCGCCCGCGUGCUCUCCUACACCCACUACGCCCUCCCGGACCCGCCCGUCUCCGUCGACGCUCGCCUCUGCGCUCUCCUCCCCCAGCACUCCGUCGACGGCGUCAGCCGCCUUCCCGACCUGCUCCUCCGCAACAUCGUCUCUCGCCUCCCAGUCAAGGAAGGCGCGCGCACCGCGACGCUCUCCCGGCGCUGGCGCGUCUGGCGCUCUGCCCCGCUCGUCCUCGUUGAUUCUCACAUCCUCCCCGCAGCCGCAGCCACCGCAGUCGCAGGCACCGCGUCCGCGCGUAGCGAUGCGCGGCGCAUCACCUCCACCGUGUCCCGCAUCAUCGCCGCGCACCCGGGACCCUUCCGCUGCGUCCACCUCACCAGCAGCCACAUGGAAGAGUUCCAUGGCCUGCUCACGCGCUGGCUCCGCAUCCUCGCCAACAAGGGGAUCCAGGAACUUGUCCUCGUCAACCGCCCUUGGCCGCUCGAUCUCGUUCUCCCCUCCACCUUCUUAGGCAUGACCACCCUCACCCGCCUCUACCUCGGCCUCUGGAAGUUCCCCGACACGGCCGGCAUCCCGAGCGCCACCUGUUUACCUAACCUCCUUGAGCUCGGGCUCUGCAGCCUCGUCAUGGAGAGCAAGGAUCUGGACUUCAUUCUCGACAGGAGCCCCGUGCUGGAGACGCUUUAUAUCCAUGGGAAUCUUUUCAAGGUUAGUCUUCGCCUUGUCAACCAAAGCCUCUGCGUGAAGAUUCUCAUGUCCUCCUUUGAAGAAAUCGCUGUGGUGGACGCCCCGCGCCUUGAGAGACUCAUCCUAACAGGAUGUUGGAGCAGCGGCGGGGUUUGCACCAAGGUGAAGAUCGGUUAUGCCCCCAAGUUGCACUCGUUGGGAUACUUGGAUUCAGGAAGUCAUGACCUAGAGUUCGGCAACACCGUCAUCAAGGCUGGGACAAAGGUGAGCCCAAGCACCAUGGUACCAAGUGUGAGGGUCCUGGCUUUGGAGGUGCGUUGUGGAGUCCGCAAUGAUGUCAAGAUGAUCCCGACUGUCCUCAGAUGCUUUCCCAAUGUUGAGACGUGUUAG